rnacentral:rRNA from 1 species
UGAAAUGCAUAGAUAUUACACAGAACACCAAUUGCGAAGGCAUAUCACCAACAAUAUACUGACGCUGAUGAACGAAAGCGUAGGUAGCCAACAGGAUUAGAUACCCUGGUAGUCUACGCUGUAAACGAUGGUUACUAGCUGUUCGUCACGCCUUAGGCGAGAUGAGUGGUUAAGCGAAAGUGAUAAGUAACCCACCUGGGGAGUACGUUUGCAAGAAUGAAACUCAAAGGAAUUGACGGGGGCCCGCACAAGCGGUGGAGCAUGUGGUUUAAUUCGAUGAUACGCGAGGAACCUUACCAAGGCUUAAAUGCAUAUUGACGAUUCACGAAAGUGGAUUUUCUUCGGACAAUUUGCAAGGUGCUGCAUGGUUGUCGUCAGCUCGUGCCGUGAGGUGUCAGGUUAAGUCCUAUAACGAGCGCAACCCCUGUGGUUAGUUACCAGCAUGUAAUGAUGGGGACUCUAGCCAGACUGCCGGUGCAAACCGUGAGGAAGGUGGGGAUGACGUCAAAUCAUCACGGCCCUUACGCCUUGGGCUACACACGUGCUACAAUGGUAUAUACAAUGAGCAGCCACCUGGCGACAGAGCGCUAAUCUAUAAAGUAUAUCACAGUUCGAAUCGGAGUCUGCAACUCGACUCUGUGAAGCUGGAAUCGCUAGUAAUCGCACAUCAGCCAUGGUGCGGUGAAUACGUUCCCGGGCCUUGCACACACCGCCCGU